rnacentral:misc_RNA from 1 species
UGAGGCUAAGAAUGGGAUAUGCCCGGUUUGUGCAAAAAGGGUUGGAACGGAUUUGGUUGGUCAUAUUACUCAGCAACAUGGAAACAUUUUGAAGGUGCAGCGCAGGAGAAGAUUUCGAAGAGGUGGUACUUCAGCUCUCUCUAUUUUAAGAAGAGAGCUAAGGGAAGGGAGUUUGCAGUCCAUCCUGGGGGGAUCCUCUCGUUUGGUUUCUCCCUCCACUACAGAUCCAGAUCCAUUGUUAUCUUCAUUUAUUCACAAUACAACUUUGGCUAAUGAAAUUCCUGAUGUUCAACCUUUAUCUUCUAUUAAGCAAAGCUCAAAAAAAGAAAGCACUCUUGAGAACUCAUCUGAAAGAACUGUUGAGCGAUCUCCGCUAUCUGACAAAGACCAAGAGGAGAAGGCCAGGAAGAGUAAGUUUGUGCAAGGGCUACUGCUAUCUACCUUUCUUGAAGAUGACAUCUAAAUGCGAAGAGGAUAAUGUUAGCAUGGAUAGAGAAAGGAAGAGGAUGCUGCCAUUUUGUGUAGUAGUUAGGGGGGGAAGAGGAAACUCGUAAAAGUCCUACUUAUGUGUAUAAUAUUAAAGACUACACUAGUUUUCCAUCUUCAAUGUAGCAACAUGCUAAAAUACAUAUUCCAAUUUUAAUUGUGGGAAGCAACACGAAACAUAUGAGUGUAUAGCUAGUUUCACUAAAAUGAAGCAGCCAGCG